AUGUUUUCUGCUGUGAAACAUUUCAAGAUUGAAUUUUUUUUUCCACUUUCCCCAUCACACACUCACGCUCACACUUUUUAUUUGCCAUAAUGAACUGUCCAGCCCCUGUGGAGAUCUCCUAUGAGAACAUGUAUUUUCUGAUAACUCACAACCCAACCAAUUCACAGAGGAACUUAAGAAGUAUGGAGUGAUGACUUUGGUUCGAGUUUGUGAUGCUACCUAUGAUAAAGCUCCAGUUGAAAAAGAAGGAAUCCACGUUCUAGUUUGGCCAUUGGAUGAUGGAGCUCCACCCCCUAAUCAGAUAGUAGAUGAUUGGUUAAACCUGUUAAAAACCAAAUUUCAUGAAGAGCCAGGUUGCUCCGUUGCAGUGCAUUGUGUUGUGGGAUUGGGAAGGGGCACCUGUGCUGGUUGCACUUGCUUUGAUUGAAUGUGGAAUGAAGUACGAAGAUGCAGUUCAGUUUAUAAGACAAAAAAGAAGGCGAGUGUUCAAUUCCAAACAGCUGCUUUACUUGGAGAAAUACCGACCUAAGAUGCAAUUACACUUCAGAAAUACCAAUGGGCAUUGCUGUGUUCAGUAGAGAGAAAUGUAAAAGAAGGCUGACUUGAUUGUGGCAUUUAGAGGGAACUCUUGGUACCUGGAAAUGUGAAUCUGGAAUCUUACCUGUGUCAUCAAAGUAGUGAUGGAUUCAGUACUCCUCAACCACUCUCCUAAUGAUUGGAACAAAAGCAAAC